UGGGGAAUUUUGGACAAUGGGCGAAAGCCUGAUCCAGCAAUGCCGCGUGUGUGAAGAAGGCCUUCGGGUUGUAAAGCACUUUUGUCCGGAAAGAAAUCCUUGGCUCUAAUACAGUCGGGGGAUGACGGUGCCGGAAGAAUAAGCACCGGCUAACUACGUGCCAGCAGCCGCGGUAAUACGUAGGGUGCAAGCGUUAAUCGGAAUUACUGGGCGUAAAGCGUGCGCAGGCGGUUUGCUAAGACCGAUGUGAAAUCCCCGGGCUCAACCUGGGAACUGCAUUGGUGACUGGCAGGCUAGAGUAUGGCAGAGGGGGGUAGAAUUCCACGUGUAGCAGCGAAAUGCGUAGAGAUGUGGAGGAAUACCGAUGGCGAAGGCAGCCCCCUGGGCCAAUACUGACGCUCAUGCACGAAAGCGUGGGGAGCAAACAGGAUUAGAUACCCUGGUAGUCCACGCCCUAAACGAUGUCAACUAGUUGUUGGGGAUUCAUUUUCCUUAGUAACGUAGCUAACGCGUGAAGUUGACCGCCUGGGGAGUACGGUCGCAAGAUUAAAA
rnacentral:rRNA from 1 species